GGGUUUGGGUCGACACGAGAAGAUGUCCUAAAUCAAUGUUGUAAGAUCAAGGAUCUCGGACUAGAAUCUGGCAACCAUCUAUCCUAGCUAAUUUUAUAUGAUUUUUCAUUAGAGAUCUUUGAUAUUACAAUUGAUUUGAUGUUGAGGCCCGACCUUGUAGGAGAGUAAUUGUCUGGAGCAGAUGAUGUUGAGCCAAACACCUUAUCUCCGAAUUCAUAGACUGAGGGCCAGGUCGGUAUUUGCUGUACUUGGAUCUGUCAUCAAUAGAGAAGAUGAUUCUUUAACACAAGCAUCUACAUGAUUAUGCAAAAUUUUAUUUAUAAUUAUUCCUUGUUGUAGUUCUAAUA
rnacentral:lncRNA from 1 species